rnacentral:lncRNA from 1 species
GCCCUUCUUUUCUAUAGUCUCCAUCCAAAUGCCACUCCUGAUCCACUUAGCCUCCAUGGUGGGUGCCCUGUCAUUCAAGGUGAGAAAUGGUCAGCAACAAAGUGGAUUCAUGUGGAUUCCUUUGACAAAACUGUGGAUACCGAAGGAAAUUGCAGUGAUCGUGAUGAGAAUUGCGAGAGAUGGGCUGCUCUUGGGGAAUGCACCAAGAAUCCAGAGUAUAUGCUGGGAAGUGCUGGCCUUCCUGGAUAUUGUAGGAAGAGCUGCAAAGUGUGUUAACUCAUUAUACUUCUCCCUCCCAACUAAAUCUGUUUAGAAACUGACAGUUCUUUGGUUAUAGUUGUUUCUAUUGUAUUUUCUAAUCUAUCAUUUCCAUCCCUCAAGUAGUGGAGUAUUUUUCCUUUGAGGCUACUACAUACCCAAAUUUUGUCUGUAUGCUCUCUUUUUUCUUGUCGAAUGAACGUUUGAGCAUCACGUUGCAUCUUCUAUUUAAGUCAUUUUCUGUCUUCUUUGUUAAUUUUAUCAAACAGCUAUACUUUUGCUAAAUAUCUUUUCUGUUUUCUUCCAAGGGAAAUGAAAAUAUUAACAAAACCGGAGAUGAACCUAAACAUCUGAAUGAACUAGUGAGGUUUUCUUCAGUUACGCAUUUUUAUUUGCAAAUGGAACUUGCAACUUGAUCUCCAGACAGAAAAAAUGAAUAUUUACACCCUACCUCAACUACAACGUUUCUCUGCACCAAACCCAAAUCACAAGCGCCGUUUCAUUACCCGCUUCCCAAAAGAUUCAAUCUCGGUUGUCCAAUGUCCGUUGCUCCAUCGCCGUUGCUCCUCCGGCAAAGCUUCGUUCUCUCCGGCGAACGGCCAUCACCGGGCAAUGUUUGGCUACAAUGAAGGAUCUCUUAGAUAUAGCUGGAUUUUCGAAGUGUAUUUCUA